rnacentral:tRNA from 1 species
GGAGAGAUGUCUGAGCGGUUGAAGGAGCACGCCUGGAAAGCGUGUGUAGGGGCAACCCUACCGGGGGUUCGAAUCCCCCUCUCUCCG